rnacentral:rRNA from 1 species
GACGAACGCUGGCGGCGUGCCUAAUACAUGCAAGUAGAACGCUGAAGGAGGAGCUUGCUUCUCUGGAUGAGUUGCGAACGGGUGAGUAACGCGUAGGUAACCUGCCUGGUAGCGGGGGAUAACUAUUGGAAACGAUAGCUAAUACCGCAUAACAGUAGAUAUAGCAUGAUAUCUACUUGAAAGGUGCAAUUGCAUCACUACCAGUUGGACCUGCGUUGAUUUAGCUAGUUGGUGAGGUAACGGCUCACCAAGGCGGCAAACCGUCGCCGACCUGGGAGGGGAUCGGCCACACUGGGAAUUGGACACGGCCCAGGACUCUACGGGGGGGCGCAGGAGGGGAACUUCGGCAAUGGACGGAAGUCUUACCGGACAACGCCGGGGGAGUGAAGAAGGUUUUCGGGUCGUAAAGCUCUGGUGUAAGGGAAGAACGAGUGGGGGAGUGGAAAGUGCACACUGUGACGGUACCUUACCAGAAAGGGACGGCUAACUACGUG